rnacentral:lncRNA from 1 species
GCACGUGCCCACCUUUAGGCGGGAAAAACGCCUCCCUCAGUGCGCAUGCGCGGAGGCCGGCGAGCCCCCUCUGGAUGGGAGGGCGGCGAUGCUCCGCCUCCUGCGGCACUUCGGCUCUUCUCGGUAGUUUCCGGAGAGAAGUCUCCUCCUUCGCCGUCCUGGCCCCCGCCCCUUCAGCCCUUCGGCUAUCUCCGUCAGCGGUUCGGCUCUCUCCGCUCACCCUUCGGAACAGGCCGUUAAGUUCCGCCGUCACUUCGGCAACUUCCGCCACUUCGGUCGGAAAUGGCCGAAGACGUGAGAGAUCCAGCGGUUUAGGGUAGAAGACCGGCCGGCUUUUCGGAACAAACCAACUGCGCCCGGACGUGGGGGGGGGGAGCAGGGGAGGGCAGCCGGAGGGGGAAGACAAGGCAGAGGCUGUGGCUCCCCCCCCAGCCACUCGCAGCGGGCGCCGGCACCGCGGCUCCGCCUGGAGGGUGAAGCGAGGGCGCCGAGAGGAUCCAAGUGAAUGAGUGGACAGCUGGCUACAGAGGAGAGACAGACUCUGUUUGAUCACCUUUUCCAGUAAGUACCCUUACAUUUCUAGGAUGAGACUUUCUAUAGUGCCUACUGUUGUGAUGCUGUCUUGUGUCAUCAGGUUGACUUCACUAGAGAGGAGCUCUAACUCUGCUUAUUUGGGCAACACUGCCAUAGAAACACGAACUCCUUUGGCUUAACUUGUUUGGUUUUGGGAGAAAUGGAAGUUGAUGGUUCUAGCUCCUUUUAUCCGAAGUGCUGCAUUCUGCCUGUAGUCCACUUCCAGUGGUGUGCACUUUCCAGCAGAACAAAGAACCAAUAUGGUUGUGCCUUGUACCUGUUUGAGGCUGCAGGGAAAUCUAUGCUGAAGGCGUUGCCACAUAAUUGAAUAAUGUGUCAUGUGUGGUUUCCUGUGCUGCAGAGCAGAAGAGGCCCUGGGGUCAGGAGAGCAAGAGUUCACCUGCUCUGUUCCAGCCUUGCUGAACUCAAGGAGGAGGGAGGAUGAGGAACCUGCUCACGUGCAGGGGUGACUCUUAGAGGCAUGCUGUGAUAUCGGUUAAAUGAGGUUUGACUUGACUUAUGGGAUGGAAAGGGUAUGAAGAAAGCACUGGAAAGCGUUGCCUAGUAUGUGGCAAGGAUGGCUUUUUUUUUUUCCUGAAAGUAAAGGAGAAAAUUCUUAUUUCAUGGGGACUUUUUACACGUUAAAAUAUCUUGCAUGCACACUAAUGGACUGUAAUAACGAGCCUAUGCUUUAUGAAGUGUCUACAAAUAUUGUUAAACUUGUUACUGUGAGGGACGUCAGUUAAUAUAUACUGGUUAACUGGAACAUGUUGGGCCAUCUGGUGCACAGCCAGGCUGAAAAUAGUUAACUGCCUACUGUAGGUAUCUGCAAGCUGACUCUCAGCUUUUGGAUGUAAAAUGCAGGCACAGACCCAGCAGGUGAGUGUGGGAGCUGCGAUGGCUGAGACCACUGCACAAUUAAUUUCACUGUAACAACCCUAGCAGGCCACUCUCCUAAGGAUAGCAUGGGAUGAUGAAUUUUAGAACCGAAGGUGUUCAUAAACAAAAGACAAGGGGAAAUUGUGUGCUUGGAAACUGGAAUGUGUUAGCAGGUUGGUUUAAAAACGUCCUGGGAGCAGGGCAGAUAAUGCUUGUGCUUCUAUGCAAGAAGGGGAAAAAGAAGCUAUCUUAUGUGUGUCUUCUUAUCUUCUCACCUCUGGCAAGUAUCAUGAGACAUGCCUGAUGUCCUUGGUUCAGAUGAUCUGUUCCUACCUAAUGCACCGUUAAUUUAGCUGUUUGCUUCUGAAUUCAGGACAGUCUUUCUACCUUUGGCACCUUUUGUAGUGUGCCAAACACAGUGGGGUCUCCCUGCUCAGCUGGCACAAUGGCUGCUGCCACAAACGCCGUGAGGAAUGCUAAAACUGAAAGUAACAGAGAGGUCAUGUGAAGAACAAAUGAUGCUGCUACUGGACAGUGCUGCCCCAUGGUCAUAAUCGACAGGUCUAAUCCCAAGUGUGUUUAGAGUCAGGUCCGCUGACUUCAGUAGCUAAAAUAAGUCAAUAUCAUUGAAUUCUCUUUCUCCUUGCGUAUCUUAGGGAGAGUACUGUAAGCUGUAGCCUGACAGCUGUGCAAUCUGCAGGAGGCCCACACGGCUGCAUAGGCUUCCCCAAGGCAUAAUUUGGCCUGCAGAACACUUAUUUCAGCCGAUGCUGUGUGUGGCAGGCUCAGCACUGACCUUCAGAACCAGGUAUGCUUUUGCGGGCCUGAUGAAGAACAGAAGUAGGAGACAAGGAUUUGAGGCCUGGAGUCCCUUCGAAGGGCAGAAGAUUGUGAUUAAAGCAAGAAGUCUGCGUAUAUGAAUUCAGAUCAGUAGGAGAUGGCAGAGGGAUGGAGCAGAGGAGAUGUUGGAAACAAGCUCUGUCUUAGAUUGCCAUAGAUUGGAAUGGGAAAAGAAACUGUUUCAAAGAAGUCCUUAACAAGUCAUUGUUUCCCAAGACUGUGCACUGAAUGUCUAAAUAACUGGGCUGGGGUUGGAAUAUUAGGAAGCUUCUCUUCAAGCAUCACAUGAGGCUUCGUGACUUGGCAGGAAAGCUACAUGUUGGGGGAGGCUGUAUUGCAGGGCCCUUGCUGUAAAUGGAUGUGGUUGAUGCUUCCUGUGCAAGCAGUGGGCUCACUGUGGAUGCUUGCCCUCUGUCUGCUCACAACAGCAGUUAAGAAUGCAAAGUGAGGGCGGUUUGGUAUUGUACUCUAGUAUUCCAGACUGAAAGAUCCAAGGCUGAUUCAGCUGUCCUCAUUACAGACGAUGUUCAGUGACUUUGACCAUCUUCACUGCUCUUCUGCCCUCUCUCCUUCUGACAAGAACUUCUGGUCGUGGUGCACAUCUGGGUUUUCCUCUCUUCAGUGUUCUUGAAACCCGACUUGUUAGAAGCUUGAAAGAGCCAUUUGGUUUGGGGCCCAGGCCUUUUGUUUCAGUGCUGUGUUUAUCACCCUGGAAAAGAGGCCAGGAAUUUUGUGUGCUCCACAUAAUAAUAAGCCAUAGAUAUAUAUAUUUUUUUCUAAAAGGCAGAAAUUUGUGCCUAAUCUAAAGACUGUAUCAGAAAGGCUAUGGCUAAACCUGAUGCAUUCCAGUGCACUGAGUCACUAGGACAAUAUAGUAUUUAACAAAGAGCCCUGGCAGAUAUUGUGUGCCUUUGUGCUGAUGCUGUCAGACGGGAUAUAUGACAUAUCUUUGUAUCCUGCAGCAAUUUCAGGAAACUAAAUGGCUGUUAGCAUGCACUGCCUCUUCUAAACGGGGACACAAAGCGCUUCAGAUGUUAAAGCUUCUCCCACCCUCCAUUGGUUAAGAGGGGAAAUUGUAUCAAAAAAAAAAAAAAAAAAGAAUAGCUCUUAUGUGGAAAAACAUAGAGCUGUGUCAUCAAACAGGUACUAAUUCUGCCAGGAAGAGACAUGCUCCUCCAUCCCCUCUGCUUUGCAUAAGUGCUGUUUAUUUUAUUAGUACUGUGGCUUCCCAAAAGUAGGACUGAAAUACAGCACGACUAAAAUCUUAGCGUUGUAGUCCCAGGUCUGCAGUGAUGGUCUGCAGACUGACAUACCCGGGCUGGGCCAGCUCUGUGGUUUUGUAUUUCAGCCCUGACUCACGUGCAUGGCUUUUGUGCUACUCUAAGGUGAAUCACAGCUCCUGCAAGUGUGGUUAAGGUCCUGCCCUGUGGCCAGGCUGAGAAGCCAGGUUCUCAAGUCACAGUUUUCUUCCUCAGCACUGAGUCACAGCUCUGAGACCCAUCUAGAGAAUUUCAGGUAUAGUUUAGUAAGAUAGUAAAUGGAGAGUAAUUUUUAAUGUGGUUGGGAUCCAAACAGCCAAAUAACUGUAGGAUUCAAGGUUAUUUUUGGCUGGGCAGUCCUUACAGGGUGCAAAUGUGCCAGAUGUUGAUCCCUACAAGAGAUCAGCUCUUCCUGGACAGCACUGGAACACUCUCCAUUUAUUUGUCCUGGUGUAGUACACUGACUGAACAAUAUGGCCAGCAUGGCAAGGGCUUGUAAAAUGCUGAGAUAAGUGUUGGACUUCUGCUUUGCACAGGAAAGAAGCUCAUGCUGGAGAAAGGGCAUAUAGUUUUAGUACUCAUUUUGCUUGGAGCAAGGGAUGGUUUGGUGCCCUUGUUGGGAUCCCUGCUCUGAAUGGGGAACUCAAAGAAGCCAACUUACACCAUUGAACUUUGGGCUUGAGGCUGCAUGGGACAAUGCUGUAAUGGUGGAGUGGUAACAGGGAGCCUUUGUAACACAGUGACAAAGCCAGCUGUAUGUGCCCAAGUGCUCCUGCUUGCUAAGCCUGUAAUAUCAGUCCCAGUUCUGUUCUCCUUCUUUCCCCUCCAGGAAUUGGUUUGUACUUAGGUAGAAUAAGUCACUGUUUGUGUGUUUACUUCUUUUCUGCUUACAGUUCUCAUUGAAUCCCACAGUGGGUAAGAGGGGGAAAGCUCAAGUGAGGCUAAAAUCAUCAUGCUUUAUGCAGAUUUGCAAUUCUCCAUCCUGUGUUAGGUUUUUUUUAUCAGUGUUAAAUAACAAAGUUCAGCUAUUCCCCAGCUGAUCUUCUCCAGGCUCUUUCCUGGGCUUAUUGCUGAGCUGCUCCCGGGGCAGUGUCUGAGCAGGUUCUGCAGCCAUAUUUGCCGUGCUGUCUCUGCUACAGGUACAAGCUGUAGAACAGUUUCUUCCUGCUCCUCUUAUGCCUCCAUCCUAAAAGGAGAAAUAUACAGAAUAUACAGAGAUAUCAUUCAGGAUUUCUGUUGGAAGCAGGGAUAAAACUUUUCCUGACACUCUUGAAGUAGCAAGGAGAAAUGGUCAGAAGGUUGCCAAGCUGAGAGCUGCUGUUGAGGUGGAGGAUGUUCACUGUGAGAGGCCAUAUUCUGCAGCCUGUACUCCAUACUGAUCCACAGGCAUGGUUUGGGGCAGCUUUUCCCUGAAGGUGAGCUCUGGAGAUACCAGUGGCUGAUGAGAAGCCACUGUGUGCCUGAGAGGCCAGCUAGCAGCUGUGCAGGGGUGGUCUUGCAGAGGAGAGCUGGAGUGCAUGAGCAUGGAUAACUGUGGGAUGACAUGAGGCUUUCCCUGCAAACUGAAGAAUAGCUUGGCUAUGGCCUGCAUCCUGACCAGGUGAAUCAGUCCAGAUUACCUCCAGAUUUGCCAGAAGGAUGUUUCAUAUGGACAAUAGAUGAUCUUGAAUGCUGUAUGGAGGCCAAGGAGCUGACCCAGCAGUGGAUCCUCCUUGUAGUCAGAUGGUUGCUUUGUUCUGUUGUCUUCCAUCAAGCACCCCAGGUACUGUAGCAGUGACAUACGGCUCUUUGGCUUCAAUCAGUGCCUCCUGAGUGCACUAUUACUCAUGUAUCCAAGACUGAUUGGAGGUAAUUCAUGUAUGUGUGGACUUCGGCACCUGGGACCGGAGUGGUGUUGCAGACUGUUAAUAAGAAUACUUGAAAGUGCAGAACCUGAAAACAGAUGAUAACUUGCGUGUGAUAGGAAAAUGUUCCAGUGGUUAUUUAAUAACAAAGCUAUUUCAAAGUGGUUAAAGAAGUAUUAAAGGGGCUCUCCAGGAGUCUCACAUUACUAUAGUAACAACAGGGAGGCAGGGAACAAGUUAAAUAAUGUUUGCCAGUAGCACUAAUUUGCUUCUGUGAGUAAAAUCUAUGGACAGCUGGAGGUAAACACUUCAUGAAUAGCCUCCGACUUGAUGAAAGAUUGAGUAGUGAAGUUUCAGUUUGGAUAAAAGUACAUCAUCUCAUGAUGUCAGCUGGAGCCAUUGCUACUCUGCAGGUUUGCAGGGAAGUUUGGAGAAAGGCCCCUAGGAAUGACUGGGGAAGCACGAGUGAAAUCCUCCUCCUUUUGUGUGACUGAGGAUGUUUCCAGUGCAGUUUGAUCACAGAAGGCCUCAAUAUGAAAAGGAUUUACUUUGUGGAAUUGUUCUGUCAUUACUCAGCAGGAUAAUUGACUUCUGAUUAGGAAGAAAAUAAAGCUGAAUGUGUGUGUUUGAGGUUAUAAAGUCCUCUUCAAAAGGCAGAGCUCUUACUUAAACAGCGACAGCUCAGACAAGAACAGGAUGCUUGCGACUCCUUUAUGCUGGCAUUGAUGUAACAGCUGUUGUUGUUUAAACAACUUGUUUCUCCAUUCUUCAUGCUCCUUCCUCCUCCUGUUGUAAAUCAAAGGAAGAAGAGUGGGAAUCAGUUUUGUUAUCUUUGAAAAAUUUAAUAACCUUGUCUUUUUAUCUUUUGGAAAUGGUUUUGUCUUAUGAAUCUGGAAUGGGUUCAGUGGCAUUGCACAGGGCCUCAACCCUCUGUGCCAACGUCCAGCUGUGGCUGCUGCUCUGGAUGAUGCAGAUCUUACAGGUGUACUUCAAGUCUUAUGAGAGUACUUUCAGAAUAGAGCUCUGAGUUGGGAGAAAUGGAAGAUGAAUGCAUUGCUGCAUUGAAACUGCCCCUAAGGAGGGGAAAACGCACUUCUUCCCUUUCGUCCUGAAUCCUCUGCUUCAUCAUGUGCUGAUCCAGCUGCUCUUUCCCUGUAGACAGAUUUAGUGUCCUUUUAAUUCUGCCUAAAGCCCUCACUGUGAGGCGUUGCAGAGCUGAUUCCUUUGAGGGGGAAAAGGAAGCCUGCCUUAGGUCUCUGGGGAACUAAUUUGUGCCAAUACUCUUGGGUUUGCCAUUCAAGUGUAUCUUUGUUGCUAUAUGCUUCUGCCUUUGAGAUGCAGAGUGAGGUGGUUCAUCAGGUCUGCUGAUGGCUGUGGGACUGUAAACACAGUUCUUGAUCUUUUGCAUGAUGGAGCAGGGGGGAUUUUGUAUCAGAAACAGUGUAGCCUGCAGGAAUGGUAACAGUUCAUCUGUACUCUGUACUGGUGGGAUUGAGUACUGUGCUCUGUUCGGGGCCCCUCACUACAAGAAAGACAUUGAGGUCCUGGAGUGUGUCCGGAGAAGGGCAGUGAAGCUGUGAAGGGUCUGGAGCACAGGUGUUAUGGGGGAGCAGCUGAGGGGGCUGGGAUGGGUCAGUCUGGAGAAGAGGAGCUCAGGGGAGACCUCAUUGCUCCCUGCAUCUCCCUGAAAGGAGGCUGUGAUGAGGUGGGGAAUGGCCUCUGCUCCUGGGUAACAGUGAUAGGAUGAGACAUGUUCGCCUCAAAUUGUGCCAGUGGAGGCUCAGGUUGGAUGUUAGGAAACGUUUCUGCUCUCAAAGGGUGGUGAUGCAGUGGCACAGCUCCCCAUGAGAAGUGAUGCGUGGGGCAACCAUCAGAAAAGCAGUGCUUUUGUAUUAUGGUGCUUUCCCAAAUCAAGUUGCUCCCCUGGAAAUAGUUGUGUUUGCUUACAGCCACCUUGCUUCAAAAAUGUGCAGGAAUUGUGGGCACGUUGUUUCUGCAGCAUACGCUCUGUGAUGUUUUCUGUGCUAGAGCCAGCUUGGAAAAUGAAUGAAAAAAGAAAUGUUUUGCUCAUUCUUGCUGGAUACUUAAUGGAGCUCAUUGGCAGCAGUGUUCCUUCCCCAGGGAUCUUUCUAGAGUCAUUAGGCUCAGUGAAGGAUGAUCUGGAAGAGUCUGCUUGUAAGAAACUGCUGCUUCUCUGAAGUGUGAAACGUUUCCUGGCUAUAGGAGCUGUCAGCCACCCCUGAGCAGCUGCAAAGAGAUAACAGAGGAGCUGGGAAGGGCAGAUUGAGAGGUUAGUACCUCUAUCCGUAAAUAAAUAAUAACACAUAGGGGCAAAAAAUCCUUCAACUUCAAGGAUAGUGCUACACCUGCAAAGAGAGGAGGGCAGGAAUUUGCUGCUUUUCUGCUCAGCUGGGCUGCCCUUUGGGAAACAGGCAUUUUCAAGAAGGAUUUUGAUGCAAUUUCCAGGUGUGACUGUGAUAAUGUUUUCAGUGCAGCAUUUUGAGGGAGAAACCUUUACUGAACAUAACCUUGGGCAAGAUUUAAAAAAAAAUCAAGGGUGAUAGGAAGUGAUAAAAGAGUUGGCAGUCACGCAACUAUGGAUAUGUGUGGGAAGGCCAAAAAUGUGCUCUGUUUCUUAUCAUAAAGAAGGAAACAACUCUGGUAUCAGGAAAGUAGAAGGCUGCCCUCUGACGGCUCCUGUCCUCCCGAGUGUCAGCCCAAGCACAGCUGUAUGUUGUGUUGCAGGGUCCUCACAGGGAGGUGGAUGUCCCAAAUGAGCUCCAAAGCCACGAGCAUUCGUUGGAAGGACCCCAGAACAGCAGCCAGGUACAGUCAGUCCAGCUGCAUCACAUUGCAUUGUGUUAAAACAGGGCAGCAGUUCUUGCCUGGAGGUGCCUUGAUUGGAAGGUGUCAUCAAGAUGAGGUGUACUGCGAAUAAAUAGAUUUCUGCAGGACUUGUUUGGUGUGCAGUGGAUGCAUUUAAUAAUGUCAUAGUAUUUACUCAUUUAUCUAGAAGCCAAGGGCAUAGGUGAAAUUUCGAGCCCCCCCCCAAAAUUGACUCUUAUCACUAAAAAUGUGGUUGAGAUGCAUUAUUUUAACUCCUGUGUUACCUCCAUCCUCAGUGAGCAGAUUGGAGAAGCAGCAGUGAGCUGUAUGGCAAAGGAAACAACCUGCAGCAUGGGAAGAGCCAGGGCUGAGUCUGGGUGCAGUGACCAUAUCCGGGUCCCCACAGGGGCGGGGGGUCAGAGCAGGUCUAACCAAUUGCAGCUGCAAACAUCUGCUGGUCCCACCCCAGAACUUUUCUCCUCACAGUGCCAGAUUGUAACAGCACGUGUAAUGCCGGCAUUACACCACUGGCUGUUUGCUUCUUUGGCCAGGUUUCAGAUUUGCUUGGUGUUAGGCACUGCCUUGGCCUUGGAUUGGCAGAGAGUAGGUAGUCAGUGUCCCACACAGUAGCCACUAAGCUGACUUCUCGGGGGUGUAUGCUGCUGUACAUAGCCUGGUUCUGCAAACUGUGCCUUGCAGCAGAAAGUUGCAGGCUCCCAAAAGAAGCAGCUCAGGCUGCCAAUGAGUCCAGGGGAAGCUUUUUGUCUCCUCUGCUUGGUCUCCAUGUCUUUAGGCAGGCAGGCCCAUGUGGCUGAAGAAGUGGGCUUAGAGAGCAGGUGGAGUUGUGAUGGACAGUUUGCAAAAGUCCUCACUACUGUGCUGCAUGCAGGGAAACGUGUCUGGAAAGAUGCUGAACCUGAGUAAAAUAUUCUAGACAGUGAGACUGGAUGGUUUGAAUGGCAGCUUGUAUCCCUAAGCUCCUAUUUCCUGACAGGUAUUUUAGUUUGAAGAAUGCUUUAAGUCGGUGUGCUCGCCACAUAGUAAGCCCCAUAGGUGGGCUGGUAAUUGCUGCUGAACUGGUACAUCCAAGGGAUUUAAGAUGGACUUGGCUUCACUAAGGCAUCAGUUGUCUCUGUAGCAAGUGCAGGACCUGUGCUUGUCUGGCCUGAGGGCAAUGGGCAUCACUCAGCAGCUGCUGCAUGAGCAGCACUGUAAGGCACAGGGGGUCUUUGUCAAGAGUUAAAGAAGAAAUUAAAGUGAAAACAAGGUUUUAAGCUAUAUAUUUUACACUGCUCAUUUCCAAUCUUCUCCUAGGCUAUGCAUAUGUUGAAAUGUUUUAAAAGUAGUCGAUUUUAUGCCUUUUGCUAUCUAAAGUCUUUGGAUGUGCUCCACUUAUUCUUAGGUUCCCUUUCCAUUUACAUCAUUAGAUGCAUUUCCAUAUGAAAUACAUACAUAAUCAGCUGUCUGAAGGGCAUUUUUAGAUGGGGAAGAACUCCAAAUAUUCAUAUUCUCAUGGUAAGAUUGCAAGCAUUGCCACACUGUGUAUUUUAGUUCACACUGUGUGUUUAUGCAUAUUCUUCCUGUCCCUGCAGAUGUUCCCAGCUUCUCUUUAUAGAUCCCAAACACUGACCCUUCUCUCGAAUACUAAAUUCUCCAUGUCAGUUUAGCUAAUGACUGUUUUGGUUUUUUUUAGAUAUAAGCUCGAUUCUGCAGACAACGGGAAUGAAUGCAGGUGUCUCAAAUUCUUCAUGCCUCUUUCUGAUAAAUAUUUCACCAGCCUUUCUUUCUCCCUGCUUGCACUCAGGACGCUGGAUGACAUUUGCACUAACAGUGUUUUAUUUUAUCAUGUUGAAGAGCAUUGUAGAUAUUGCCAUAUAGAAUAGGCAGCUCCUUUGGAUUGGUAGCAGUUGCUGUUGACGGCUAGGCAUAAAGCUACUUUCAAAUACUUAUUGUGCUGAUACAACAUGUAAUUAAAGGGAGGAUGGAUGAAACUUGUUUGCUGCUGGAUUCACAGGCGCUUGCCUGGGGCUCAGCGAGGAGGAACUCAGCCAAAGCUGAGGCUCCAGUCCCUAAUUGGAGCAUCGCGUGGGGGAGAUGCGGGAAGCAUUCCUCCUCUUUCAGCAGAGCAGAGCUGGUGUGACGGCAGGCAGGUUGCUGGGGGUGACAAGGGCAUGCUUUUCCCUCCCUGCUGUGGAGCUCUUGAACUGGCAGCGCGUGAUCUGAGUGUAGGUAAGUGGCCCGAGAGCAUAGGACGUGUCCCUGGGCUGUGACUGUACAGCGGUGGGUGGCUGUAAAGCAGUGUUGGGAAGCAGCAGUCCCACAAGGAGUAGAGCAGAAGUGAGGGAGACAUUUCAGAGCGUGAAGCCCUGCAGUCUCGUAAGGCUGAAUCACUGUGAUAAAGAAAACUUGAAGGAAGAGCAGUUGACAUGUUUCGUUUUUUUUUUUAACAAAUUAUAAAGGGGCAGUAUUGCUUUAAAGCUCGUCUGCAGCAUUUGUAUUCACCUCUGCUGUUGAUCUGCACAGCCAGAGCUGGCUGGCUUCCUUGUGAAGUCAAGAUUUCUGCUGGGGCAGUAGGCAGGGGAAAAACAGAAGCCUCAUCAUCUCUGCCCUGGCUAUAUGCUGGGGACAGCCGCUGGACUGGGCAGGGUAAUGCGUGCUUUUGAUGCUUAGUGUAUCUAUGGGGCAUUUCAUAAGUAGAUACCUGAUGUGAAAAGUACCAGAGAUAUUCAUCCCCUUCUUUACAAAAUAAGGAUAAAUACUUCUUGAUCUGCCAAAGCGGGCUGUGUGGAUUUAAUUAACUUUAGCAAAAUGCUUGUGGAUAGCAGCUUUCAUUUGAGAAGGUAAAGGCAACAUAUAUUCUAGGCAUUCUCACUCAGCUUUGCAAUUAUUCCUCCAGCUGUCGUGAGCUGUGCCAACAAAAACUACUCUCCUGUCAUCAAGGGAUUGUUGGUGCCUCGUGACUUGUUUUGGUUUUGAUAUUCUCUUUCCCCCAACUCAUUCUCCACGAUCUCUAUGCGAAAUAUAGCAUGUUCUCCAAAUCUGGGGGGUAGAAUAAAACCUUUUCUGCCACAAACUGUGUCUCAUGUCUGCCUUGCCCUCCUCUUUUGGUCUCUGCCCUUGGAGAGGAGGAGAGAGGGGGUCUUUUUUUUAUUAUUAUUUUUUGUAUUAUCAAGUUACUAUGAGCCUGGAUAGUUAAGACCUAUAGCUUUGCUCUUCCAAAUGCUAAGCUUGUUGCUAACAAUACUUUUUGAAGGUCUCCCUGUAAAAGUCAAUACUACUCAAAUUUAGUUUAUUUACAGUUUCCAAGAGAAUUAAGUUAAGCCUACCUGCUUUUAGAUUAAGAAGUUAGAAGUUCAACUCAGGUUUCGCCACAGCUUCCCUACAGGACCCUAAGCAGAUGUAAAAUGGGAAGAGUAGAAUCAUAGAACCAUCAACGUUGGGAAACACCACUAAGAUCAAGUUCAGUUCUCAACCCAUCACCACUAUGCUCACUAAACCAUGUUCCUCCAAUGGAGUACCUCCAUUCCCCAAUAGGUUCACUGCUGUUGGUACUUCCUUUGGGACUGGAUCCUUGCACAGCUUCCACAUCCAUCCUGACAUGUCCUCGCCACAGAAGUGGAUGCACACUGCAAAGGUUGGGUGAGUUUUCAAGUGGACUUGAGCACAGGCUGCCUCCCAGGGAAGCGUGUGUUCAUGCUGGAUCGUGUUGCUUCAGCACUUAAAGCCUUGCUCCUGUUUGCAGUUCAGAGUAAUGUUCUGGGAGAGCAGGCAGGAGCUUGUCCCACCGCACACAUCUGUUGGACAGUGAGCUAGCUCUUUGUGACAAACUCUUUUCUUAUUGGCAGAGGCUUAAGAAACAGAAGAUUGAAAUACAACAUGAUAACUUCUUUUUCCCUGAUCAGAUCCCGAGUCAUACAUCGCAGAGUACAUGGCAGGAUGCAGUUGUUCGCUGAUGCUUCUGGCUUGAGGGAUUUGAUGCUCCAAAUUGAAUUGAGUAUCUCUGGCUCCCACUAAGGGGUGUGGGAGUUGUGUGACUUCAUGAAGAUUUGUGUCCAUGUUUGUCUGUGUGAACUUCAUUCUGAGAGUUGUCUGACUCCCACAUGAAAUGUAGCAAUCUUUCUUCUCCCUGGAAGAGAAUGCUGAAUUCUGCCAAGUGUGUCGGUAAUUGUUUUUAUAACAAUAAAUCUCAGCAUGGUGCAAGUGCUUCAAUCCUUGCUGGAAUCUGUGAUAUUUGUUGGGUGAGGACAGCAGUAGCAGAGGCACAACCCAGCACUGCCUCCCUGUGCUUUGAUGCCUUAAGAGGGAAUGGAAGAUUAUUGAGUGAACGAUAACUUAACAAACAAGUUUGAUGAGAACAAGAGAUGAGCUCAUCUGAGCAUCAUAAUAAUUACUUGCUCCUCCAUGCAACUGUUAAGGCUUGAGCUUGUCACCACGUUUCCAGCUUUGCUUGGCCUGCCUAUUCUCUGUCAUGGAAGUGGUGUGCUGAGAGCGAUGGUCAUGGUGCUGGUAAAGUGUUCGCUAUGUUUGUUUGGGAAAUGUCAGGAAAAUAUUGCUUGCUAUAUGGAAACAGUUGUGCUUCAGUGUCUGUUUCUGAAAGGUUGAUUCUUUCCUUCUAUCCCUUUUUUUCCUAUUGACCGCAUGCCCCGUUUCGGGCAAGGCAUGCAGCUCUUGGGGCAGCUGGUACCAGCCACCUUGGGUGGGGGAAUGAAGGGUGGUAGGCUUCAAGCACAAGCUUGGGAGAGGAAAUGAAGCAAGCUUCGGGGAUUUCAUGUGCAAAAUUUGGUUCGUGUUGAGUGAAAUGAGUAAGUGGGAGGCUGUCAGGCUGCAUCCUUGGAUUAGGAGCUAAACUCUUCUCCAUUGGGCAUCAUCCUGUGGCUUUAACGCUGAAAAAUGGGAGUCGUCCUGAUCUCAUGGGACUUUUUCAUGUUCCAGUAGAGCUUCAUUACCUGAAGAUGGCUCAAAAUUGCAUCUCUGAAUUUGCAUUUCUGUUGUUUCAAGCACAGCCUUGUGUGUCAUUGCUGGAUAAUUCCUUUCAGAUACAGGGAGCCAUUGCGACGUGUUUCUCUCUCUCAGCUGCCUAUUAGCUACUUCUAGCUCUGGGGCUCUUCUGUUCCUGGAUCAGCAGAGAUCACCAAAUGAGUUUGUCAUUAUUUGUUUUCUUCUGCAUGUCUUAAUUAUGGCAUUUAGAGGGGGACUUUUCCCAUCUCUAUCUUGUUUACUAGAUCUUGUUGGAGGUCCUCCCUUUUGGCUUGAAUUUAAUUGCUGAAUUGUAUCUCAGGAACUUCAGCUGGUAUUCAGCCACCCCUCGCUUUAAAAGCUGAGUGGAAGUCCAUUCCUUCUGCUUGACCUCUGUUGCCUUUUUGAUUUCCCUAGCAGAUCUGCUUUUCUGAAGCUGUUUUCCCUAAAAUGGUGUGCUUAAUUCCAUUCGUACCCUCUGAGCAGCCUUUUUCGCUCAAUAGAGUUGAUGCAAUGAAAUGAACUUGGAAGAUUAAUUUGUUAUUCUCUGAUAUUUCCCAAUUCCCCAACCUCCCAUUUUUUUGCACAGAAACCUCCCACUGAGCUCUUUUGGAAGAGCUUUGUUUCUCAGCUUUUCUCUUAAAGGCUGGCUUCUGGGCUACAGCACAAGGAUAAUAGCCUUAAGUGUCCUAUAAUGCUUUUCAUUUGCAGGCUCUCUAAGCCUUAGACCACUGUAUGUUCAUAUCUCUAUGGAAAUACAGCUGUCUGGGAGAUGGAAAGAUUAUUAUCAGCUAGAAGUAGUCAGGAAGAAGGCCUUCCAGAGGACGGUCACAGAAAUGGUUAGAAGACCAGAACACCUCUCCCAGGGAGAAGGGCUGAGACACCUUGGGAGUAUUUAUCUAUAGAACAAGGGGUAAAUGGCUUUAAGAUAGAAUCACAGAAUCACAGAAUGGCUUGGGUUGGAAGGGACCCCAAGGAUCAUGAAGCUCCAACCCCCCCACACAGGCAGGGCCACCAACCUCCACCUCGAAUACCAGCCCAGGCUGCCCAGGGCCCCAUCCAACCUGGCCUUGAACACCUCCAGGGAUGGACGGGGCAUCCACAGCCUCUCUGGGCAGCUGUUCCAGCACCUCACCACUCUUAUAAUAAAGAACUUCCGCCUGAUAUCCAACCUAAAUCUUCCCUCCCUCAACUUGUAACCAUUUUCCCUUGUCCUGCUGUUAUCUACCCUUGCAAAGAGUUGAGUCCCCUUUUGUUCGUAGCCUCCCUAAAAUAAAAGAGGAUUAGUUUGCAUUGGGUAUUAUAAGGAAAUUUUUUACAACGAGGGCAUUGCUCAAGGCCAGGCUGGAUGGGGCCCUGGACAGCCUGGUCAAUGGGAGGUGUUGCUGCCCAUGCACCCACUGCUUUGUAUCACUUACCAGUCUUGUGUGUGUUGAGUUCUUUCUGUGCACUGCAAGCUCACCACAUCAUCAAAUGAAAUAGGCCUUUCCUGUGCCUCUACCCAGCAAGAUGCCUCCAGUCUGGCAGAGCUGGAUUCAUUUAUUCAUUUUAAAUUAUUUUAAACCCAAUAAUGUUGCCUCUCCCCUCCCUAUCCUUUUUUUUUCCAGAGUAAUAAAGCAAUAAAUUAGAAAAGCUUCUUUUAUGCUUUUAGGAAAUUGCAAUUUUUGUUUAUGUGUCUUCUGAAAUCUACAAGGAGAGAAAGUGAACGUUUCUGUGGAAUGUAAGGGUUUUGAAGAUGCUCCAAAAAUACUCAAAACCAAAUGAAAGGUUGAGUGC